AUAAUAAUGGCUAUUAUUUAUUAAGCAUUUGCUAUGUGCCUUGCUCUGAGCUAAAUGUUUAACAUACAUUCUUUUGUUUAAUGCUCACAAUACUUAUGUGGAAUAAUUUUUUUCAAAUGGGGAAACAGAUUUAAAAUUGGAAAAUAAUUGCUUAAAUUCCCAUGAAUAAUAAUAAGUUCAUCUGAGCACAGGUGUGUCCCAUGUCCGACUCUUAGCUCUGUCACCUCCUGUCCCAAACAAUGUCACUGGUUUGAGCCCACAGUUACUUACACCUGCGUAACAAGACCAUAAAUAAGAAUAUCUUGAAAUAUACAACAGCAGGCAAUCUGGGGGGCUUGUGUAAGCAAUUCUGCAAAUACUUGGAGUGAAGAGGCAGUAGUCAUUGGUGGCAUCAUGCCACAGGUAAGCAUUUAAAUGUUAGAGAUGCUUUCAUUUGAUUGGUAAAGCAAUAUUCUCAAACUUGAUCUCAUACACCAUGCUAAUACAUCUCUAGAUCAGUAUACCUGUAGGUCAGUGGCACAGAUGUCCAAAGUGUGCUUUAAUAAAAUGCAAACACUGAGUGUAUUUUUGAGGCUGGAGUUGUGUAUUCCUCUUUGUGAGAAAAGCAGGAAUUUUUUUUCUCAUUAGUGCUUGAGGCAAGCUUGAAAUACAAGUUAAUAGGACUCAAAAUUAUCUCCAUCUAAUGUUUUUAAAGGCAAUCUUCUUUAACGUAAUCAGAGGAAAAUAGUAUACUUCGGAGACCAAAAAAAAGUGGCAUAUCUUAGAUCAAAGGUUUUUCCUGGUGAUUGUGUUUGAUUAUCUUUUAAAAAUAUGCAUAAGAGUUUCUAGAAUGCAGCAAUUGGAUUUUUUACUUUCUAUACUUCUAAUUCUGACUUUUAUAUCAUAAGACAAUUGGUGUGUCUGUUUAUAAUGAUGGUAAUCCAGAAGGGCGAGACUAUAUUUUCUUAAUUUUUCAUGAAUACAUUUAUUUCUAGAACUGUAACUAAGGUUUUUCAAUAGCUUCACUGAGAACACAGCAUGCUGCUGGCUGGUCCCCAAGUUUCUGGUGCCUUCUCAGUCUCAUUUAUGAGAAGAUAAAAUGAGAAGUCCUACGCACCCAAGCAUAUGAUCCUGGUGUAUGUGUGCUUUGAAGAACAGCAAAAGUCCAGGAAAGAACAUGACCCCAGAGUUGAAGGCAGUAAAGAGUCGGUCAACAUCUGUCCUAGGGAAGAAUGACUGGAUUUCCCUGUGCUAGAAUUUCUAUAGAAGGGGUCCACCUGGAGAACAUGCUCACCCUCUCCCAUGGAACCUUUGAUUCUGUGGCAGUGCCCUGUGUGUAUGGGCCACUCUUCACUGCCACUCCAACAAGCAGCAAGGUUUCCAGGGCAGCAGAUUGCUUCUAGCAAACACCACUAACACCUUCCCAGGACUCCAACAACCAGCAGGUGAAACAUCACUUGCUGCUGCUGCUGCUGUCCCCAUUGUCCUUGCUGUGGUUCAUCUGGGGUGAGCAGCAAUCUACUUAGGAAGUUUGUUUUUGUCUCACUGUAUGAAAUUCUCACCAGAAUCCCUUGUCUAUUGUUAGCUACACACCCUGGUGGGUCCUUAGAGCACUGGUUUCUGACAAUAUAAUAAUGUGAUUAAACCUAUUUGACCCUCUUCUCAGAAAAAAUCAAUACGGAUAUAUACACAUGCAAUAAAAAUUUGCAGCUAAUGUUAGGAAGUUUAAAAUCCACUGAAGCUUGAAUGAUUCUAAAGAUUUCUGCACUACAAAAAUUUGGGAAAUAAAAUUUAACCCCCUACAAACACUUUUGGAAAUUUUUUUCUAAGGCGUUUGUUUGGACUAACAGAUUUCAAUAAGCUGGUUGCUACUUAUGUGUCUAUCUUCACUCCCAACAUUGUCUUGAGGGUGUUAGAACCACCUUCUGUUAAGAAUUACAUCUGUGAGCAAUGCACAACUAUUGAAAUAUUGACUAUGGUUGCCGUCAUACAUGUUAUAUUGCUCACAACAUUGAUUUGACUUUGGAACAUGUUUGUGUCCCAGGGAACAGGUCUAUGCCUCCUUUGGCUUUGGCUUUCUGCAGCCAAAUCUCCAUGGCCAUAGGGUUUUCAGGCCUCUGCUUAUAUCCUUAAGAUAGUCUCAGGCUGAGAGCCAAAAACUUUGUGGGGGAAAGUUAGGUCAUUAACUAGCAGGAGUUUUGAAAACAGUUCUCCCAACCUAAGAAAGUGUGAUUAUAAAUACUAUUCUAGAACAGUUUACAUGCCUGCAUCCUGAUAGAGAUUAGGCCUUUGUGUGUUUUUAAGACUACAGUCUCACUUAAUGAUAUAUUUGUUUUUAAUAAAACUCGGUAAAUAUAUUAUCUCAGCAUCUCCAGAGGAUAUUAUUUUAUAAUUUGCUGCAUUUGGAUUCUAAAUAUUCUUCUUAUUGUCCAGAAGAACAACAACAAAGAAAACUUUUAUUAGCAGAGAGAAAAUAAGACGGAUAAUCCUUGCCUUCCUGGAGGUUCUGUAAGUCAGACUGGCCUGCCCUGUGAGGACAGCAUUCUUUCCUCUUUAUCUUCUUUAAUGACUGCUCUGCUAAUCACACCUGACUCCUGUUAUCAAUCCUGUGGUUGUAUCUUUUCAGGGUUUUUACUGUGGUCAGAGGUUUCCAGAUACUCUAUUAUUAUUAUGAAAAAGAAGCAUUGUCAUUAUCGGACCUAACUUGGGACACAGAACAAUGAACAAUUUUUCAAAAGGAAGGAAUCUAGCAGAUAUUCAGCUCUUGUAUCUUUUUACUUUGCAUCCUGAGAAAAGGCAUCUACCUCGGUGACAGGAAUUCAAGGGAAAAAAAAAAAAACCCUGAAAAACAGACACAGAGUCUUUGGGACACUGAGAGGUUGGCCACUGUGUGUCUUCAGUCAUGCUUUGCAUUAUGCCACACCAGGACUCUUGCGUCCUUCUGGAUCCAUUUGGAUGUCACGUAAUUAUUUGCAAGGAUCAAGGUUGUCACACAUGGGCUAUUCACUUGGAAUCUUUUGAAGAGCAGAGCAAUAUUGCAUUGUAGACUUCAUGGCAAAUAUUUUUCAAAAGCAAUGUGUAGGUUCAUCUGUGCUUAUAUAUCCGACACUUUAUUCACAUAUGGGUUGAGAGCUUGUAUACUACGUUAAAUAUGAAUUACAUGAGGGAUAUAUUCAAGGUACUUGAGAAGCUUGCUCUGCUGCUGUCUAAUAAAAGGCCACUCCUGACUUCUUAUGCAGGACAGUGUAGAUGUGGCUUUCUAUGAAACAGCAUGUAGGUAUUGCCAUGUCUGUGUGAAUAUCAGCCAUUGCUACAACCAGGAAGUUCAUAAGCACAUGCGCUUUCUGUAGGAGAUUCAGCUUUGAGCUCUUUUCUCUGCAUUAAUCACAACCUUCUCUGGGCUUUCACAGCACUUGACACACAUACUAAUACUGCAACAGUUAACAGUUUCUUAGUGAUUAUCACUUUUUACACAGCGACUCUCUCACCCUCCUGCUGGAAUGAAAGCUACUGCAGGGCAGAAACCAACUUAUUUAUGUCUGCAUUUUCAGAGCUCAGCACAUGGCAUGCCACCCCCCCCCCAUUCCAUGUCCUCAAUAAAUGUUUACGGAAUGAAUUAACACAGAAACGGAAAACCAAAUAUCACAUGUUCUCAUUUAUAUAUGGGAGCUAAGCAUUGAAUACAUAGGGCAUAAAUAGGGCAACAGUAGACACUGGGAACUCCAAAAGAAAGGAGGGAUGGAG
rnacentral:lncRNA from 1 species